rnacentral:rRNA from 1 species
CUACGGGAGGCUGCAGUGGGGAAUAUUGCACAAUGGAGGAAACUCUGAUGCAGCAACGCCGCGUGGAGGAUGACACUUUUCGGAGCGUAAACUCCUUUUAUAUAGGAAGAUAAUGACGGUACUAUAUGAAUAAGCACCGGCUAACUCCGUGCCAGCAGCCGCGGUAAUACGGAGGGUGCAAGCGUUACUCGGAAUCACUGGGCGUAAAGAGCGUGUAGGCGGGUUAAUAAGUCAGAAGUGAAAUCCUAUGGCUCAACCAUAGAACUGCUUUUGAAACUGUUAACCUAGAAUAUGGGAGGGGUAGAUGGAAUUUCUGGUGUAGGGGUAAAAUCCGUAGAGAUCAGAAGGAAUACCGAUUGCGAAGGCGAUCUACUGGAACAUUAUUGACGCUGAGACGCGAAAGCGUGGGGAGCAAACAGGAUUAGAUACCCGCGUAGUC